rnacentral:rRNA from 1 species
GAACGAGAAUGUGUAGCAAUACACAUGUACAGUGGCGAACGGGUGAGGAAUACAUAGGUAACCUACCCUCGAGUGGGGAAUAACUAGCCGAAAGGUUAGCUAAUACCGCGUACGCUCCCCGGACUACGGUUCGGGGAGGAAAGCGAUACCGUGGGUAUCGCGCUCUUGGAUGGGCUUAUGUCCUAUCAGCUUGUUGGUGAGGUAAUGGCUCACCAAGGCUUCGACGGGUAGCUGGUCUGAGAGGACGAUCAGCCACACUGGCACUGCGACACGGGCCAGACUCCUACGGGAGGCAGCAGUAAGGAAUAUUGCGCAAUGGGCGACAGCCUGACGCAGCGACGCCGCGUGGGGGACGAAGGUCUUCGGAUUGUAAACCCCUUUCGGGAGGGAAGAUGGGAUGGGUAACCAUUCGGACGGUACCUCCAGAAGCAGCCACGGCUAACUUCGUG